AGAGUUUGAUCCUGGCUCAGGAUGAACGCUGGCGGCGUGCCUAACACAUGCAAGUCGAACGGACUUUCCAUGAAGCCUAGCGAUUGGAAAGUUAGUGGCGGACGGGUGAGUAACGCGUGGGUAACCUGCCUUGUACUGGGGGACAACAGUUGGAAACGACUGCUAAUACCGCAUAAGCGCACAGCUUCGCAUGAAGCAGUGUGAAAAACUCCGGUGGUACAAGAUGGACCCGCGUCUGAUUAGCUGGUUGGUGAGGUAACGGCCCACCAAGGCGACGAUCAGUAGCCGACUUGAGAGAGUGAUCGGCCACAUUGGGACUGAGACACGGCCCAAAUCCUACGGGAGCA
rnacentral:rRNA from 1 species